GCUUACGGCCAUACCACCCUGAACACGAUUCCGAUCUCGGAAGCUAAGCAGGGUCGGGCCUGGUUAGUACUUGGAUGGGAGACCGCCUGGGAAUACCAGGUGCUGUAAGCU
rnacentral:rRNA from 1 species